rnacentral:snRNA from 1 species
GUAUUUGCUUUAGCAACACACAUACUAAAACUGAAACUAUACAAAGAUUAGUACAGCCACUGUACAAGGAGGACAUGAAAGUUUGUCAAGUGUUCCAUGCAAGU